AGUUAAACGGCUAAGCGUACACGGUGGAAUAUACACCGGCAGUCCAGAAGGCGUGAAGAGGCGACGCUUUAAUCGCGAUAAGCGCCGGCCAGGUAUGAACCGUUACCAACCGGCGAUACCCGAAUAGAAGCCGGUAAUGUUUCGACACACUAUCAUUAACUGAAUCGCCAGGUUGUAAGGCGAACCGGGGAACUGAAACAUCUAAGUACCCCGAGGAAAAAGAAAUCAGCAAUUCCCCAGUAGCGGCGAGCGAACGGGAGAGCCCAGGAGCACAGGUCGCUUAUGUGUUGUAGUGGAAGCGUCUGGAAAGGCGCGCGCGAUACAGGUGACAGCCCCGUACACAAAAGCGCAUGUGCUGUGAAGCUCGAUGAUGAGGGCGGGACACGUAGGCAUCACAAUGCGAAUAAUAAUAGAGACCAUCCUCCGGACCAUCUCCUGACUGACCGAUAGUGAACCCAGUACCGUGAGGGAAAGGCGAAAAGAACGGCGAGGGGUGAAAAAGAACCUGAAACCGUGUACGUACAAGCAGUGGGAGCACCCUUUGGGGUGUGACUGCGUACACUUUGUAUAAUGGGUCAGCGACAUAUUCUGUAACAAGGUUAACCGAAUAGGGAGCCGGAGGAAGCCGAGUGCUUAAUUGGGCGUUAAGUUGCAGGGUAUAGACCCGAAGCAGUGAUCUAGCCAUGGGCAGGUUGAAGGUUGGUAACAUAACUGGAGGACCGAACCGACUAUGUUGAAAAAAUUAGCGAAUGACCUGUGGCUGGGGGUGAAAAGGCAAUCAAACCGGGAGAUAGCACAGUUCUCCCCGAAAGCUAUUUAGGUAGCGCCUCGUGAAUUCAUCUCCGGGGGUAGAGCACUGUUUCGGCUGAGGGGGCCAUCCCCGGCUUACCAACCCGAUGCAAACUGCGAAUACCGGAGAAUGUUAUGCAGAGGAGACACACACGGCGGGUGCUAACGUCCCGUCGUGAGAAGUAGCGAACCGCCAGCUAAAAGGUCCCAAAGUCAUGGUUAAGUGGGAAACGAUGUGGGAAGGCGGAGCAGCGAGGAUGUUGGCUUAGAAGCAGCCAUCAUUUAAGCGUAAUAGCUCGCACCAGGUCCGGAAGUCGGCUGCGCGGAAGAUGUAACGGGGGCUAAACCAUACACCGGCUGCGGCAGCGGCACUCAGGUGUUGUUGGUAGAGGCAUUGCAAGCUGCGAAGGUGGCCUGUGAGGUUGCUGGAGGUAUCCAGGGUAGAAUACUGACAUAAAGUAACGAUAAAGCAGGUGAAAAAGCCCGCUCGCCGGAAGAAAGACAGGGAUCCAACGUUAAUCGGGGCAGGGUGAGUCGACAGGCGAAGGCCGAGAGCGUAGUCGAUGAGGAAGCGAUUUAGCAUAUUCCCGUACUUAUUGUUACUGCGAAGAAGGGGGACGGGAAGAAGGCUUUAUGUUGGCCGGGCGACGGUUGUCCCGGUUUAAGCGAUGUGGGUGUGUGUGUUCGAGUAAAUCCGGUUCACUUUAACACUGAGGCGGCGACGAGGCACUACGGUGCUGAAGCAACAAUGCCUACUUCCGAGAAAAGCCUCUAGCCUCGGUAACAUCAAAUCGUACCCAAACCGGCACAGGUGGUCAGGUAGAAAUACCAAGAGCGCGAGAGAACUCGGGUGAAGGAACUAGGCAAAAAUGGUGCCGUAGCUUCGGGAAGGCACGCUGACAUGUAGGUGAAGUGAUUUACUCAUGGAGCUGAAGUCAGUCGAAGAUACCAGCUGGCUGCAGCAUUUAUUAAAACACAGCACUGUGCAAACACGAAAGUGGACGUAGCACGGUGUGACGCCUGCCCGGUGCCGGAAGGUUGGUAUUGAUAGGGUCGCGCAAGCGAAGCUCCUGAUCGAAGCGGUAAGCAGCGGCCGUAGCACCCAUAACGGUCCCUAGGUAGCGAAAUUCACUUGUCGGAGUAGUUUCGCGACCUGCGAAUGGCGUAAUGAUGUGACUGUCUCACGAACUCAGUGAAGUGAACUCGCUGUGAAGAUACAGUGUACCCGCGGCAAGACGGAAACCCCGUGAACGCUACUAUAAUGACACUGAACAUUGAGCCUUGAUGUGUAGGAUAGGUGGGAGGCUUUGAAGUGUGGACGCCAGUCUGCAUGGAGCCGACGCGAAAUACCCUUUAAUGUUUGAUGAUGUUCUAACGUGGACCGUAGUCGGGUUGCGGACAGUGUCUGUGGUAGGUAGUUUGACUGGGGCGGUCUCCUCCUAAAAAGAGUAACGGAGGAGCACGAGGUUGGCUAAUCUGGUCGGACAUCAGGAGGGAGUUUGGUGCAAUGGCAUAAGCCAGCUUGACUGCGAGCGUGACGGCGCGAGCGAGUGCAGCAGGUCAUAGUGAUCCGGUGGUUCUGAAUGGAAGGGCCAUCGCUCAACGGAUAAAAGGUACUCCGGGGAUAACAGGCUGAUACCGCCCAGAGUUCGCAUAUCGACAGCGGUGUUUGGCACCUCGAUGUCGGCUCAUCACAUCACAGGGGCUGAAGUAGGUCCCAGGGUAUGGCUGUUCGCCAUUUAAAGUGGUACUUGCGAGCUGGGUUUAGAACGUCGUGGGAACAGUUCGGUCCCCUAUCUGCCGUGGGCGCUGGAAACUGAGGGGCUGCUCCUAGUACGAGAGGACCGGAGUGGACGCAUCACUGGUGUUCGAAUUUGUCAUGCCAAUGGCACAGCAGUAGCUAAAUGCGGAAGAGAUAAGUGCUGAAAGCAUCUAAAGCACGAAAACUUGCCCCGAGAUGAGUUCUCCCUGAGACUUAGGAUGCUCCUGAAGAAGACGUUGAGAACGACGACGUUGAUAGGCCGGGUGUGUAAGCGCAGCGUGCGUUGAAGCUAACCGGUACUAAUGAACCGUGAGGGCUUAACCUU
rnacentral:rRNA from 1 species